rnacentral:rRNA from 1 species
GGAUUGAACGCUGGCGGCAUGCUUUACACAUGCAAGUCGAACGGUAACAGGCCACAAGGUGCUGACGAGUGGCGAACGGGCGAGUAAUGUAUCGGAACGUGCCCAGUCGUGGGGGAUAACGCAGCGAAAGCUGCGCUAAUACCGCAUACGAUCUAUGGAUGAAAGGCGGGGGACGUAAGGCCUCGCGCGAUUGGAGCGGCCGAUAUCAGAUUAGGUAGUUGGUGGGUAAAGGCUCACCAAG